GACGAACGCUGGCGGCGUGCCUAACACAUGCAAGUCGAACGGAGAUAUGAUUUCGGUUGUAUCUUAGUGGCGAACGGGUGAGUAGCGCGUGAGCAACCUGACUCUUAGAGGGGGAUAACACUCGGAAACGGGUGCUAAUACCGCAUAAGACCACGACAUGGCAUCAUGACGAGGUCAAAGGAGCAAUCCGCUGAGAGAGGGGCUCGCGUCCCAUUAGAUAGAUGGCGGGGUAACGGCCCACCAUGUCAACGAUGGGUAGCCGAGCUGAGAGGCUGAUCGGCCACACUGGAACUGAGACACGGUCCAGACUCCUACGGGAGGCAGCAGUGGGGAAUUUUGGACAAUGGGCGCAAGCCUGAUCCAGCAAU
rnacentral:rRNA from 1 species